rnacentral:lncRNA from 1 species
UGAGGAUUUGGGCUUACGUCCAUUAGCCUUAUUCCAGCCAAUUCCACUGGUGUCACAUAGGGUGGUAAAAGAGUCCUGAGCCCCAGGAAGGGGUGAAGGCUGCAUCCUGGCUCAAAGCUGGCCUGAAGGCACAGGCGUCAAGAAAACAGGCACCAUGAUGCUUGACCAUGGUGCACAGCUGCUUCGUGAAAAAGUGUCCCAGGUUCCCCGCUUUGGCUUCCUGCAGCCUAUAAAUCACUAAGCAUCAGGAUGAAGCCCUUCAUCUUUAAAAAGCUACAACUUAACAAGAAAAUUGGAUUCCCCCUGAGAGCCACAGGAGAGUUCAGGGGUGAAUGCCAUCCCAUUCAAAUGAAGGCAGAAACAAGUGAGAGACCAAAGAAGACAGGAUGUGGCAGGGGCCGGGUGAGCCAGGCAUGGUGGCACAACCCUGUGAUCCCAGCACUCGGGAGGCUGAAGCAGGAGGGUGACUGUGAGUUCAAGGCCAGCCUGAGUCCACAGUGAGUUUAAGGCCAGCCUCAACUAGAUGGCAAGACCCGGUCUCAAUAAAGAGGAGGAGGGUUUGGGGCAUGCCAAGGAUUUGGAGGGUUAGGAGGGACAUGGAGCCUUGCUGAGGGCUCUGAGACAGAACAGUGUUCUGUCCUGGGCUAGCUGGGAGCUGAGUCCGCACCUGCACCUGCACUACGAUGUGUCCACUGUGGAAAUGACGCUGAGACCCUAACCUGCUCCUCAUUGCAGGAAAGGAAACUGAGGCACGUCCUCUUCCUCCUGGACUUAGGUGCAGUGCCAUUCUUGCAGAUAUGAAGUUUGGGAUGCUCAUGUGGGUGAUAGAGUCGGGGCUGAACUCACGUGUGGCUAGGCUGGAGGGAGGGUAAGAAAGAGGUUGGGCCUUCCAGAGGCACAGGGAGAAGAAAGCCAAGCAACUUCGGGCCUUUCUCAGUGUGAGUGGCCGGGGGUGGGUAUAUCCGGGAGACUUAGGCUCUGUGGUACAAUUAGAUCAGGUUUCCCCAUCUAGAAGCGAUUUUUCAAUUUUAUUGAAAAAUGCCAAAUGACAGCCCCAUGCUGUAGGCACCGUGGGAUACAAAGAUAAAUCGGAACCGAGCCUGGGCCUGGGGUUGUUUCAUAUCUAGUCACCAACCACCCCCUGCCCGGGUAGCUAAGUACUAGAAGGGGACAAAGUGGAACUUGGGGCUCCCUGGGUGAGCGUCAUGGGGGAUCACCAGCAUCCAGGAGGCGGUGGCGGGAGGCCCAGGCCGGAGGGGAUGGGUGUACACCAGAACGUGCUUCAUCUGGGACCCAGGGCGGGAGGCAUAAAGGAGCUGGAAGUGGAACCAGGACAUUGGACCCUCUGACCCCCUUCUUUGAAAGAGCUUUGGGAGAGUUUAAGUGUAGAAAUGUUAAGAUGAUUGACAGUGAUGUGUUAUAGGCCCGUAUGUAUUGAUUUGGAAUGAUGUUGGUGAUGUAAGGAGAAAACACAUAGUGAAACAAUACACAAGAAGUUCCCAUUUUUAUUUUAAAACAUAGUGUAUACUCAAG